GGUGGAUAGGAGGAGAGCAUAACCAUUUUAGUUAGUCACAUAUAUUUCCAAGAUGAAGGCCUUUCUUAUCGCAUGCUUUCUCUUAGCUACCAUCGUCUUCUCUCCCCUGUCCACUUGCACUGCUCGAGAAUUGGCCGAGCGAGACGGAUCCCGAGGAGCUCUUGACCCCGGCAAAGUUCCAUUCAAUUGCGGAAGGGGUAAUCGAUAUUGCGUGCCUAAAACACCAAGAGGUUGCCCAAAUCCUUACAAGCGUAACUGUGGGCGCUCUUAAGAUUAGAAGGAAGCAAAGUUGAGUGCUUAAAAGUAUGGAGAGAUUCUGCUGUCUUUAUCAAUAUGUAAAA